GACAGAGGGUGCAAACGUUGUUCGGAUUUACUGGGCGUAAAGCGCGUGUAGGCGGCUUUGCAAGUCGGAUGUGAAAUCCCACGGCUCAACCGUGGAAGUGCAUCCGAAACGGCAUGGCUGGAGUCCCGGAGAGGAAGGUGGAAUGCUUGGUGUAGAGGUGAAAUUCGUAGAUAUCAAGCAGAACACCUGCGGCGAAGGCGGCCUUCUGGACGGUGACUAACGCUGAGACGCGAAAGCGUGGGGAGCAAACAGG
rnacentral:rRNA from 1 species